UACGGAGGGUGCAAGCGUUGCUCGGAAUUAUUGGGCGUAAAGGGUAUGUAGGUGGUCUUAUUUGUCUGGGGUGAAAGCCUUGAGCUUAACUCAAGAAGUGCCCCAGAAACGGUGAGACUAGAGUCCUGGAGAGGGUCGUGGAAUUCCCGGUGUAGCGGUGAAAUGCGUAGAGAUCGGGAGGAACACCAGAGGCGAAAGCGGCGACCUGGACAGGUACUGACACUCAAAUACGAAAGCGUGGGGAGCAAACAGG
rnacentral:rRNA from 1 species